rnacentral:rRNA from 1 species
UCAGUUCGGAUUGUAGUCUGCAACUCGACUACAUGAAGCUGGAAUCGCUAGUAAUCGCGAAUCAGAAUGUCGCGGUGAAUACGUUCCCGGGUCUUGUACACACCGCCCGUCACACCAUGGGAGUUGGGAAUGCCCGAAGCCGGUGACCUAACCGAAAGGGAGGAGCCGUCGAAGGCAGGCUUGAUAACUGGGGUGAAGUCGUAACAAGGUAAC